rnacentral:lncRNA from 1 species
GACCCUUUUACCGCCUGUCGUAUCCCCACUACCGUCUCCGUAUCCUCCGCCGCACCGCCACCAACAUCCUUACCCUCCGCAGACGCCUCCGCAUGGCUUGCCGCAUUACCCUCCACCUACCUACAAAUCCUCUCCUCCCCCAUCCCACGUCUCCUACUCCAACUCUCCGCCUCCACCGACACCGGUUUACGCAAUUCCGCCUCCGCAUGGCCUGCCGCAUUACCCUCCACCUACCUACAAAUCCUCUCCUCCCCCAUCCCACGUCUCCUACUCCAACUCUCCGCCUCCACCGACACCGGUUUACGCAAUUCCGCCUCCGCAUGGCCUGCCGCAUUACCCUCCACCUACCUACAAAUCCUCUCCUCCCCCAUCCCACGUCUCCUACUCCAACUCUCCGCCUCCACCGACACCGGUUUACGCAAUUCCGCCUCCGCAUGGCCUGCCGCAUUACCCUCCACCUACCUACAAAUCCUCUCCUCCCCCAUCCCACGUCUCCUACUCCAACUCUCCGCCUCCACCGACACCGGUUUACGCAAUUCCGCCUCCGCAUGGCCUGCCGCAUUACCCUCCACCUACCUACAAAUCCUCUCCUCCCCCAUCCCACGUCUCCUACUCCAACUCUCCGCCUCCACCGACACCGGUUUACGCAAUUCCGCCUCCGCAUGGCCUGCCGCAUUACCCUCCACCUACCUACAAAUCCUCUCCUCCCCCAUCCCACGUCUCCUACUCCAACUCUCCGCCUCCACCGACACCGGUUUACGCAAUUCCGCCUCCGCAUGGCCUGCCGCAUUACCCUCCUCCUACCUACAAAUCCUCUCCUCCCCCAACCCACGUCUCCUACUCCAAUUCUCCGCCUCCACUGACACCGGUUCACGCAAUUCCGCCUCCACAUGGCCUGCCGCAUUACCCUCCUCCUACCUACAAAACCUCUCCUCCCCCAUCCCAUGUCUCCUACUCCAACUCUCCGCCUCCACAGACACCGGUUUACGCAAUUCCUCCUCCGCAUGGCUUGCCGCAUUACCCUCCACCUACCUACAAAUCCUCUCCUCCCCCAUCCCACUCCAACUCUCCACCAAUACCGACACCGGUUUAUGCAAUUCCACCUCCGCAUGGCCUGCCGCAUUACCCUCCUCCUACCUACAAAUCCUCUCCUCCCCCAUCCCACGUCCCCUACUCCAAUUCUCCGCCUUCACCGACACCGGUUUACGCAAUUCCGCCUUCGUCGCACCCGCAUCACAAACCAUUGCCGCCGUACCACACCAUUCCCGAGCACGCGCCGCCACCGCAGCAGCAUCACUACGGGGUACCACCGCCGCCCUACAACUAAGACCGGAAUAGAGGAAGAGCAUCAGAAAGAACAAGUUGAUUAUCUAGAAUUGUAUAACGUGUUCUUGGCUAUAUUUCGUGAAGAGUAGUGUGUGGUUCAGUACGUACGUAGUAUCCCAGAAUACGGAAUAAGAGAGGAAUGUUAAUUCGCAUUACCGAUCAGGCAUAUAAGUCCUAGAUUUGGUUUAGCCACGGUGUCUUUGUCGCGAUUGUAUCGUAAUCACUUUCUAAUGCAGCGUUUGUUUUAUAUUAUUUAA